rnacentral:tRNA from 3 species
AGGAAUUUAGGUUAACAAAGACCAAGAGCCUUCAAAGCUCUAAGCAAGUACAAUUUACUUAAUUCCUGAUAAC